rnacentral:misc_RNA from 1 species
AACCUAGCACACCUGCGGUGUGUACCUGCGGAAGGAUCAUUAUAGAGUUUUCUAAACUCCCAAACCCAUGUGAACUUACCAUUGUUGCCUCGGCAGAACCUACCCGGUACCUACCCUGGAACGAGCUACCCUGUAGCUACCCAGGAACGGGCUACCCUGUAACGUCCUGCCGGUGGACUUCUAAACUCUUGUUAUUUAUAGUAAUCUGAGCGUCUUAUUUUAAUAAGUCAAAACUUUCAA